rnacentral:rRNA from 1 species
GACGAACGCUGGCGGCGUGCCUAAUACAUGCAAGUCGAACGCAGUGGGGACGGGUGAGUACCACGUGGGUAACCUCCCAUCAGAGGGGAUAACACUUGGAAACAGGUGCUAAACCGAUACUGAUGGAUGGACCCGCGGUGCAUUCGCUCGUUGGUGGGGUAACGGCUCACCAAGGCCAGGAUGCAUAGCCGCCGUGAAAGGGUGAUCGGCGAUACUGGGACUGAGACACGGCCCAGAGUCCUACGGGAGGCAGAAGUAGGGCAUCUUCGGCAAUGGACGAAAGUCUGACCGGUCAACGCCGCGUGAGUGAAGAAGGUUUGCGGAUCGUAAAACUCUGUUGUUAGAGAAGCGGUAUCUAACCAGAAAGCCACGGCUAACUACGUGCCAGCAGCCGCGGUAAUUC